GAGACUUCGCAGCGAAGGGCACAUUCCUCCCCUCCGCAGGCUGCAGCCACCACGCACAGCGGCGGCGCUGGCCGGAGAUGGAGCCGACCGGCCGGAGUACCAAGAGGAUGAGACCCGCGCCGCCCCACACCCACGAAUCUACGCCAGGUCCAGCGGAAACGACGGAUCCGGCCGCGGGGAGAACCCAACACCCGCCGCCGGGAGCUGGGGGUGAUGGCGGCGAGGGACCGCCGGACCGCAUCAGCGAUCUUCCCGACGCGGUCCUCGGCGAGAUAAUCUUCCUCCUGCCCACCAUGGAGGGCGCCCGCACCCAAGCCCUCGCGUCCCGGUGGCGCCACCUCUGGCGCACCGCCCCCCUCAACCUCGACUGCCGCGGCAUCCCCGGCAACCUCCCCGGCGCCAUACUCUCCGCCCACGGGGGCCCCGUCCACCGCCUCUGCCUCCCGUCGCUCCUCCUCCAGUACAGAGCCGAUGUGGCAGGCACCUGGCUCCGGUCCCCCUCCCUGGACACGCUCCAGGAGCUCGAGUUCUACCUAGAGCUACCAAUAACAUACAGAUUUUCGUUCUCAAGGUUACAGCUGCUGCAACCACCGCCGGCGUCCAUCUUCAGGUUCUCGUCCACUCUCCGCGUCGCCACCAUCAGCCAGUGCCAUCUCCCGGACAAUACCGUGGAGACGCUUCAGUUUCCCCUGCUCAACAAGCUUGCGCUCGUGGAGGUCAAAAUCUCGGAGGGCUCGCUGCAGAGCAUCAUCACCUCCGGCUGCCCUGCCCUGGAGAGCUUGUUGCUCAGGACUAGUUUUGACAUCCGUGGUCUCAGGAUCAACUCCCCUAUCCUUAAAAGUAUAGGCGUUCAUUCUAGGUUUGUAGAACUCAUCAUUCAGGAUGCCCCUUCACUUGAAAGAUUGCUCUGUCUGAGAAUGGAUAUGAGAAUGCGAGUGUCAGUACUCUCCGCACCUAGACUGGCGACCUUGGGUUACAUUUCUCAGGAUUCACAGGACUCCAAAAUCAUGUUUGGCUCCACGGUUAUUCAGAGAUUGUGCGUUGUUAGCCUGACAAUGGUGGUGCCUACUAUCAAGAUCUUAGCUGUGCAUAUGAAUUUUAAUCUGGAUAUGGUUAUUGAGUUGAUGAAAUGCUUUGUAUGCUUGGAGAAGUUGUAUAUGAAGAUUCAGACAGAUUCACCAGCAGGAACAAAUUUCUGGCGUCAUAAACACCGGAAUUUUCUCACAUCUCAGGACAUUCGUUUGAAGACCUUAGUGCUGGGACAUUACCGAGGCAUCCAGGCACAAGUUAACUUUGUCACAUUCUUUAUACUGAAUGCGAAACUGCUAGAGUCCAUCCGACUUGAGGUUGAUUCCAGGGAUUACAAUGACAGAUUUUUCGCAGAACAGUGUAGGAUGCUUCAGAUGGAGAACAGGAUUUCUAGAGGUGCUCAGCUCUGUGUUACAACAGGUUCUCACAAUGAUGUUUCGAGCACCGUUGACCUCAAUGAUUUGGAUUUGGCUGAUCCGUUCGCAUGUAGAUGUUGAGAGUGGGCCUGGCUCCUGGUUGAGUUAUUCUUGCGUAUCUCAUUCUGUGUUUUUGCCCAAGCAUGGACCAAACGACGAUGGCCAGAGUCAGCUAUAUUAUGAAGAUGUCAUCUGGGGGUGCUCAUUUUGAUUGUCCACUGGCACACCUCCCAAACGGUUCCAUUUGCAGUGAAGAUUGUACAGUGUCUUCUCAAUGUCGCUAGCUCUGAGUUUGUAUAAAGGAAAAUUUCUGUUGUUCUCUCCACUGUUCAACUAGGGUGUUUUGAACCAUGUUAUUUGACUGACAAGCUUGCACUAUCCCAAAACAACAUGAUGUUAAAACCGGCUACUUGUGAAGCCACCAGCCAUGCCUGGUGGCAGCAGCUAUAUUCACAGGCUACUUUUGACAAUGAAGAUAUUUUUACAGAACAACAUAUAUAGGAUGCUUCAGAUAGAGAAGAGUGUUUCUAGAGGUGCUCAGCUUUGUUUCACCACAGAUUGUCACCAUGAUGUUUCGAGUAUCAUUGAUCUCAGUGAUUUGGAUUUUCGUGAUGCCUUCUCGUGUAGAUGAUGAAAGCCGGUCUGGCCCUUGGUGAAGUUAUUCUUGCAUAUCUCACUCAGUUUUGGUCCAAACUUAGCCAGUCUUUCUAACCUUGUGUUGUCCCUGAACUUUGUGUUAUUUAAACACUAAAAGAGAUCAGGACCAAACAACAAUGGCUGGAGUCAGCUAUUUUUGUUCCUGGUGGUGCUUAUCUUGACUGUCUGCUGGUACACUCGCCCAAAUGAUCCCAUUCGCAGUGAAGAUUGUACAGUGUCUUCUCAAUGUCUAUUGGGAAGCACCGAGGUGUUACUGAAUUGUACCCAGACUGUAUCCAUCUGAGUUUGCAUAGAGGAAAACUUGUGUUGCUCUUUCCACCAUCUGGGUACCGCUGCUAAAGCUGGGAGGGAGUGUUGUGGUAAUUAAUUAUCAAUCGCUCACAACUUCAUAUUCCAUAACCAGGGU